GUACUUCCGCUCAAUUUGAAUUCUCAUUCAGUGCUAGUCAAGCCCAUAGGUCAAGCCCAUACAUAUAGAACACUAGUAGCGGCGGCGUCUAGAACGUCACCAUAGGCGGCCAUCUUACAACAGUAAAUCUUGCUGUUGGAAUCUGGGGUAGCUGAGGAAAUUGCUGACAAGUGAAGAUGCCUGACUUUUGUGCAGCCUACGGAUGCGUCAAUCUACGAACUCUCCAAACGAGAAACCGUGGGAUGACCUUUCACCUGUUUCCCAAAAACAAAACGAGAAGGAUUAAGUGGGAAAUGGCCCUAAGAAGGGACAGUUUUACUGCUUCUGACAGAUCACUGCUCUGCAGUGACCACUUCAGGUUUGAGGACUUUGACAGGACGGGGCAGACUGUCCGGCUUAAAGAUGGUGUUGUGCCAACCCUUUUCAACUUUCCAGCUCGUCUUCAAAGGUCGGUAGCAACCAGAAGCGCAACCAAAUCUAAAAGAGCGGAAGAGAACCUGGCAAUGGACUUAAUGCCUGAUGUUUUGGUAGCAACCAGAAGCACAACCAAAUCUAAAAGAGCGGAAGAGAACCUGGCAAUGGACUUGAUGCCUGAUGUUGGAGCUACUGGAGAGAGGAGAUUGAGCAGCAAGUGGCAGGACACUGACCACUUGUAUGCAUUGCCUGCUGGCCCUUCCCGUGAGGAUGGACACUGGGAUUUCAGCUGCCUUCAGUGUGCAGAAUGUAUAUAGUUCUCUGCAAACCUAUGGUGGUACCAUGCCUUCAGUGUGCAUAUUGUAUAAAGUUAUCUGCAAACCUAUGGUGGCAUCCUGCCUUCAGUGUGUCUUGAACAACCACAAAGGUUGCACAUAUUAUGUUCAUAUUUUUUCGUAUUUGUCUAAAUGCAUAUUUGACUGUAGAUAGAUUUGAGUGAAGUAACCAACACAAUAGAUUGCUGAGUUUUAGUAACCACUUAUUUAUUUAACAUAAAUAACAUGAAUACCUUGUGCAUGUGUGUUUUUAUUGCACCUAUCUGUUCCGUUUAAUGUUAAUUUCAUAUGAAAACACAUGGUUUUAAUUACACAAAUACAUCUCUGUUCAGGGUGGGGAUUUCAUCUUGCAGCUUUUGUUGACGUAUAUUUGUAAAGGGAAAUCUUGUACCUAUUUUAGAACAUCCUAUUUUUCUUAAGAACCUAACAAGUAUUCAUAAGUAUGUACUGUCAUGCCUACAUAUCUGACGUUUAUAAUAAACUAAACCGUUUGAAAAUCUGUUAAGAAUUUAGCAAGUUAUGGUUUUUUAAAAGGUACAUGUACCACUACCAACGCAAUG